CUGCAGGUUUAACGAUCGCCUGUGCAGCAGCCGCGGUAAUUCCAGCUCCAAUAGCGUAUAUUAAAGUUGUUGUGGUUAAAAAGCUCGUAGUUGGAUCUCGGCGGACUGAGGGCGGUUUGCUUGCUAGUAUUACUGCCCUAUAGUCCGUAGUUUUGCCAGAGGUUUCGGGGUGCUCUUAAUCGAGUGUCCCGGGAUGCUGGCAGGUUUACUUUGAAAAAAUUAGAGUGCUCAAAGCAGGCUAUUACGCCUGAAUAUUCGUGCAUGGAAUAAUAGAAUAGGAAGUCGUUUCUAUUUUGUUGGUUUUCGGAAAUCGACUUAAUGAUUAAUAGGGACAGUCGGGGGCAUUUGUAUUCAAACGACAGAGGUGAAAUUCUUGGACCGUUUGAAGACAAACUACUGCGAAAGCAUUUGCCAAGAAUGUUUUCAUUAAUCAAGAACGAAAGUUAAAGGUUCGAAGGCGAUUAGAUACCGCCCUAGUUUUAACCAUAAACGAUGCCAGCUAGCGAUCUGCGGACGUUUUUUUUGUAGACUCCGCAGGAAGCUUCCGGGAAACCAAAGCAUUUGGGUUCCAGGGGAAGUAUGGUUGCAAAGCUGAAACUUAAAGGAAUUGACGGAAGGGCACCACCAGGAGUGGAGCCUGUGGCUUAAUUUGACUCAACACGGGAAAUCUCACCAGGCCCGGACACUGGAAGGAUUGACAGAUUGAUAGCUCUUUCUUGAUUCGGUGGGUGGUGGUGCAUGGGCCGUUCUUAGUUGGUGGAGUGAUUUGUCUGGUUAAUUCCGAUAACGAACGAGACUCUGUCCUGCUAAAUAGUGUCUGCUUCUCUUUUGAGCAGACAAUUCUUCUUAGAGGGACUGGCGACUCUUAGUCGCACGAGAUUGAGCAAUAACAGGUCUGUG
rnacentral:rRNA from 1 species